UUAUUGCCAAUAGUGGCGUUUGCGCCCAU
rnacentral:sRNA from 1 species